rnacentral:tRNA from 1 species
AGCCCCGGCCGAUGUCAUCCGGCGUCUGUGGAUUUGCAAUCCAACAUGUUCUACACCACGAGGCU